rnacentral:rRNA from 1 species
AAUGAACGCUGGCGGCAUGCCUUACACAUGCAAGUCGAACGGCAGCAUGACCUGCCUUGCUAUGUUGAUUUCGAGUGGCGCGCGUGUGAGUAAUGCAGCUGAACUUGCCUUUUGGUUGGGGUUAACUUAGCGAAAGGUACGCUAAUACCGCAUAUUCACUGAGGCGGAAAGCAGGGUACCUUCAGGCCUUUCGCUAGAAGCUCAGCCGUUGUCGGAUUAGCUAGUUGGUGAGGUAAAGGCUCACCAAGGCAACGAUCCGUAGCGGGUCUGAGAGGAUGAUCCGCCACACUGGGACUGAGACACGGCCCAGACUCCUACGGGAGGCAGCAGUGGGGAAUCUUGGACAAUGGGCGAAAGCCUGAUCCAGCCAUGCCGCGUGAGUGAAGAAGGCCUUCGGGUUGUAAAGCUCUUUCGGCUGGGAAGAAAUAGCACCCACUAAUACAGGGUGUGGAUGACGGUACCAGCACAAGAAGCACCGGCUAACUACGUG